UCUCUCUCUCUCUCUCUCUGAGUCUGUGUCCUAUUUGUGAGCUGGCUGGUUUCUGGGAUCAACAAAUCAAAAUGGGGUAUAAGAAAGCUCUCACAGGGUUUUCAACGUUCAUGGUCAUUCUAAUGGUGGCCUCAAUACCAUUUGUGCAACCUUCUCGCCUCCAAGUAAGAACAUUCAAUUUCACAGAAAACACAAACACAAAGGGGCUUCAAAUCAACCAGGCUGAUAGAUUUGGGAAUGGAGAAGGAGCUAAGGUUUUCAAUGCUGUGGAAGACUCAGCAAGGCAAGUUCCAGCUGGUCCUGACCCUCUUCACCAUAACAACAACCCCAUUGGUCCUUAAACCCUAUCUCUCUCUCUCUCUCUCUCUCUCUCUCUGAGCUAAGGUUUUAAAUGAUGGGGUUUUCACCUUUGUAUAGACACUACUUUGGGGCUGCUCUGCUUCAUAGCUAUAGUUAUCCAAGAUAGUUUUAGUUUUUCUUAAUGGCAUGACCAAAUAUUGUUAUGAGGUAAUGGUCGUAUA